GGUAGCUGGAUUAGUAAAGCAGGGAGAGCACCUCCCUGACAAGGAGGGGGUCACUGGUUCGAGCCCAGUAGCGACCACCA
rnacentral:tRNA from 1 species